rnacentral:rRNA from 1 species
GACGAACCGUGCGAACGUUGUUCGGAAUCACUGGGCUUAAAGGGCGCGUAGGCGGGCUGCCGCGUCCGGGGUGAAAUCCUCCCGCUCAACGGGAGAACGGCCUCGGAUACGGGCGGCCUCGAGGGGGGUAGGGGCAUCUGGAACUGUGGGUGGAGCGGUGAAAUGCGUUGAUAUCCACAGGAACUCCGGUGGCGAAGGCGAGGUGCUGGACCCCAUCUGACGCUGAGGCGCGAAAGCGUGGGGAGCGAACAGG